rnacentral:rRNA from 1 species
GAUGAACGCUAGCUACAGGCUUAACACAUGCAAGUCGCGGGGCAGCAUUUCCUUAGCUUGCUAAGGAAGAUGGCGACCGGCGCACGGGUGAGUAACGCGUAUCCAACCUUCCCAUGUCCACGGGAUAGCCCGUCGAAAGGCGGAUUAAUACCGUAUGAGGUCACAUGCGGGCAUCUAAGUGUGACGAAAGGUUUAGCGGACAUGGAUGGGGAUGCGUCCGAUUAGCUAGUUGGCGGGGUAACGGCCCACCAAGGCGACGAUCGGUAGGGGUUCUGAGAGGAAGGUCCCCCACAUUGGAACUGAGACACGGUCCAAAACUCCUACGGGAGGCAGCAGUGAGGAAUAUUGGUCAAUGGGCAGAGCCUGAACCAGCCAAGUAGCGUGCAGGAUGACGGCCCUAUGGGUUGUAAACUGCUUUUAUAAGGGAAUAAAGUGAGCCUCGUGAGGCUUUUUGCAUGUACCUUAUGAAUAAGGACCGGCUAAUUCCGUG